rnacentral:rRNA from 1 species
CAGGUGCUGCAUGGCUGUCGUCAGCUCGUGUUGUGAAAUGUUGGGUUAAGUCCCGCAACGAGCGCAACCCUUAUCCUUUGUUGCCAGCGUUUAGGGGGGGAACCUAAAGGAAACUGCCGGGGAAAAACCGGAGGAAGGGGGGGAUGACCUCAAGUCUUCCGGGCCCUUACGGGUGGGGGUACCCCCGUGCUAAAAGGGCGCAAAAAAAGGGAAGCCACCCCCCGAGAGGAAGCGGAACUCAAAAAGUGCGUCCUAAUCCGGAUUGGAGUCCGCAACUCCACUCCCUGGAAUCGGAAUCCC